rnacentral:lncRNA from 10 species
CCAGGUUUUUAUGGGAGAGGAAGAAGUGGGGAGUAUGAAGACCCCAGGAAAAGAGUUUUUAAAGAGGAGGAGAUCCAAUUUCACACCUUUGAGUAGUCCAGCUCUGGAAUCCAGUACAGGAUUUUUGGAAGAUUCACCAAGAUCCAUCUUUCCUUUUCCUGCUAUUCUUUCCAAAUAGGUAAAGAAGUAGCUGAGGGAAACGCAGCUUUGUGAGGGAAGCCUGGAGCGUGAGAAAUCUGCUCACACUGGAUUCUGCCUCGGGCUCGACAGAAUGUCACAGCAGACCCGCGAUGUGACAGGCUCACUGGUGUACACACGGCUGUGUCGGCCAUGGCCCUGUCAGAUUACCUGGCACUUGUCCAGUCUUUCUGCAGUCAACAUCGCCCAGAUUCCAUGCAGAACCCUUUGCAGACUCCUGAGGAGGUACAGACAAGGAGUGUCCCUGUCCUCAUGGUGCUACAUGAAAAGGGAUCAGGACAGCAUAGUGUGUCCUCUGUCUUGAGAAGUUCGCAUCCAGCUCUGCCAUGGACCAGCCAUGCU